rnacentral:SRP_RNA from 1 species
GCUGGGCAUGGUGGUGCAUGCCUGUAAUCCCAGCUACUCGGAAGGCUGAGGCAGGAGAAUCGCUUGAACCUGGGAGGUGGAGGUUGCAGUGAGCUGAGAUCAUGCCACUGCACUCCAGCCUGGGCAACAGAGCGAGACUCUGUCUCAA